rnacentral:lncRNA from 13 species
AUGAAGACCUGCGUCUCUUUGCUUCCAGAUGAGAGAAUCAUUGCUCACAGAGGUGAAGUAACUUUUCCAAGGUCACGCAAUCACAGUUUCCUCUGCCUGGAAUCUCCCCUCCUGCUUCGAAGCCUGGCUUACCUCAAUUCGUUCCUCGGAGUUGGCCUCAGCGCUCACCUCCUCUGGGAGGCCUUCUCCAGCCCACACCCCACCCUGCCAACUCACGCUGGCCCCUCUUCCCCACGACUACAGGCCCUCCCCUCCCCUCUGGGCUGGGGGCAGCUGGGGAGGAGUGUAAGUCCUACUCACUAUGGUGCCGCCAGCCCCAAAACAAAGACUGGCCCACGUGGUACUCCGCGUACGUGUGUCUCCGGGCAGAGAUGUCUGUGGGCGGAAGGAGCUGGUAACAGACAGAACAUGCUGGAGGAAGAGCAGGUUGCAGGGAAAGCUGGUACAGAAAACCCCAAAGAGAAUGAAGGCCCCCGCAUCACGUCUUCACCAAGACCCCACUGGCAAGGCGAGGACAGCGCCUUUGGAUGAAUGCACCUGUGACCCAGAGACAAUCCCAGCUGUCCUGAUGUCUGAUUUGAUUGCAUCUGAUUUCGGAAUUGGAUUUCUGCUUCCUUCUAAAAACCUCGUUCCCUAUGUCAGUUGUCAACAAGCCCCUGUCUAGUGCGGGAAGGCUGUUUUCCAUCAAGCAGUCCCAGCCAGGCUAACAAUAAAAUGGUUGGCAGUGAGCUUGGGGGCA